AAAUAUACUCCUCUGCUCAAAAUACUCUCAAGAACUCAAGCUAGGGUUUCAAUUUGAAGACCCAAAUCCCAUCAAUCGAAAAACAUAACUCCUCAUUUAUCUUCAAUAUCAAAAGAAGGGUUUCUCUCAAGAUCAUAACCUAUAACAAGAAUCAAAUCCUUCUUAAAGAAUAUAUGAUAUUCAAGUUUUUCAAACUCAAGAGCCAAUUUAUUUUCUCUCAAAGGAACAAGAACCCUAGUCAAGGAAUCAAGAACAUAUCUAAGAAUUUCUUCAAGAAUCUUCCACCUAAGGUAUGUGUAGUGUUCAUUCACGGAUUCCUUUCAUUCGUAGGAGUCCAAGAACCAUACUUUAAAUACUAUAUUGUGAUUGUCUUGUUGGGAUAUGAUCAUGUACAUGUUGAUGGUUGUUGUUUAUGCUUCAAGAUGUUAAUUUAGGGUGAUUCUCAUGAAGUAUGUGUGCUUGUAGUUAAAACUCAUGAAAUUGGGUGGUUUAAGAUGACUAAAUUAUUAAGAACACCUAUACUAUAAAGUGUGCAUGUAAGGUGUUCGACGAAAUGCCUAGAAUAGGCAUAAUCAUGUUUUCAUGAUUUAAGAGUGCUCAAUUAACAAGUCCUUACUCCAUGUUUUAUGAUUUCACGUGAAUUCCAUGUUGUGUGAAUAAAGUUCGAAUCUUUACAUGUUAUUCAUGAUACCAUGAUAUUUUGUGGAUUCAAUUGGUGGAAUUGAGUUGAAUUAUGGUGUUAUGGUGUAUAAAAUUGAUCAUUAGGCCUAUACCCUAAAUAGUGCAUGCAAGGUGUUUGUUAAAAUGCCUAAGUGAAGAAGAAUUGAGCACUUUGACCUCUUUGUGAUCUAAAUGAUAUUCCAUGCCAUAUCCAUGUGCUUAAGUUAACUCCCAUGCUAAAGCUAUGCCUACCAUGUGUUUGAUAAUGUGCCUCAACGAAUAAAUGAUGAUCAAGUACCUAAUCUUCAUGCUCAAAGAUUUUUCCAUGUCUCUUAAGUUAUGCCAUGUCUACUUGAUCAAGAUGAUUUCUAUGCUAUUAAUGUGCUAUGAAUAUGUUGUUGGCUUGUCAUGAUAUUAGAAUUGACCAUGAUAUUAGCUAUAUGAAAAGGUUAUGAAAACCACAUGAUUUAUGAAUUCCCCGUAGAUGCUAUAUUAUGGAUUGUUAAUGUUAGUCAAGUACUCUUGUAUGUCAAGUCAUGUCAGUUUCCUUCCAUCGAGUCCUAAGGGUAUUCGUACCCAAAAAAUAUAGCUGUGUGCCUAGAGCCAUGUUAUAUUUUCAUGAUACUCUCAGUCAAGCCCUGUUCAGUAGACUUCAGUCAGCUAACAGAACUCAGUAGCAUUUAGUCAGUUAACAGAAUUCAGUAGUGUUUCGCUAGUCAUCGGAACUCAAUAAACUCAGUCCAUGUUCAGUUUAGUUAAACAGAACAAUCAGUAACAGUUCAGUUAAUUCUAGUAUAAACUAGGAAAUCAGUUUAGUAUAAUCAGUUCAGUGUCAUUCAUUUGGGAGUAGGAUUCAGCACCGAGCGAACCCAAGGAUGGGAACUCACCUGCCAGUGCAGGGUGUGAUUCUUAGAAGCAGCCCUUGCAUUCCAGAACUAUGUAGCCAGCAUAGGUUGAGACAUCAAUACCUGUCAGUUGAGGGUAGAUGAGGUGGAUUAACCUGUCAGAUGAGGGUUCCCACCGUUCUCAUUAGAGUACCUGCCAGAUGAGGGUCACUUUCAGCUUGUCCUUGCCAGUGGAGCAGUAUUGACAUCCUUCCAAUCAGGGUAGAGAUUGGACCCCAGCUUCGCUAUUAUAGCGUAUUUGGGGUAUGUCGGUUAGAUAACUACUUCCCACAGUUUCAGUAUCAGUCUCAGUAAAAGAACUCAGAUAGUUCUUCAGGAUAUCAGGACUGUCAGAUACAGUCAACUCAGAUACAGUACAGAACUCAGCUAGUUCCAUCAGAUUUAGGACUGUCAGAUACAGUCAUUCAUGUUAUUAGUUAUCAGAACUCAUGUUAUCAGAUAUAUCAGUUAUCAGAAUUCAGAUAUCAUUCAUGAUAUGUUAUCGGUAAAUACCUGUCAUCAGUAUUCAUACUUAGUAGUCAUGUUAUCACGAGCUCAGUUUUAGGACUGUUAUAUACGGUCAAUCAAAUCGGUUAUUUAUAAUUAAACUAUCAAAAAUAACCAUUUCUUUAUCAGUAAUAUAGUAUCAGUCUCCCAAUAUUCAGUAAUACAGUAUCAGUUCCUCACUUAUUAGUGAAUUACAUAUCAAUAUCAGUAAACUCAGUCAUUCAGUACUCAAUAUCAGUAAACNNNNNNNNNNNNNNNNNNNNNNNNNNNNNNNNNNNNNNNNNNNNNNNNNNNNNNNNNNNNNNNNNNNNNNNNNNNNNNNNNNNNNNNGUAUGUAUGUAUGUAUUCUCACGUUCAUAUCAGUCAGCAUUGUUCAUGCAUAUAAAACCCUUUGCAUUUAGCUUACCUCACUCGUAUACUCAGUACAUUCAGUCGUAUUGACGUAUUUGCUCUAUGGUGUUUUAUUUGACGCCAUAGGUACAGAGACACGAGUUUCAGAGCAGCAGUAGCAUUGUAGAUUUCAGGAGUCAGUGCUCCUCUUCAUUCGAGGACAAUAUUAUUAUUACUUUAUUACAGUAUUUCAGAUUAGUUUUUCAGUUCAUGGAGUUAGUUGGAGACAUAUUCUUUCAACUCCUUAUUCAGUUCAGUUAAAGAUUUUUGGACUAGAUGUCAGAUUAGAUGUUUAGACUUUAGUAUUUAUGUUUCUUUUUGGUAUUGUUAUACCAUAUUUUUUAGAUACGUAUUAGUAUUGAACCUUAUGGCCUUACAGUUCAUGUUUCCGCAUAUUUUAUGAGAUAUUAUGUAGUUUAAAGGUACAGAUAUCAGUCAUAGGUUAGCUUGUAGUCCUUCGAGGUCAUGAGCACCGUGUAGCAUUUUGGUUCAGAAAAUUGGGGCGUUACAAACUUGGUAUCAGAGCCUAAGGUUCAACAGUGUCCUAGGAAGUUUGAAAGCUACAUCAAGUAGAGUCUUGUACAUGGGCGUGUUGUGCACCACACUUAUGUGCAGGAGGCUAUGAGAUAUUUUAGGAAUUGUUUCCCUUCUUUCAUGCCUCAAGAUUGUGCUAUAGCAAGUUUCUCUAAGGAACCCAUGUAGAUUCACAUCAGGCUCCCCUCAUGUCGACCUUACCUUACUUUUAAGAUAACAGAAACAGUGAAGCUCAAGUCCUAAAGAUAGGGCUUUCUCAUGCAGUCCCUAGAGACAAUUAUGGAUUUGCCAUAUGCUCAGACAAUACCCCCUCAAUUCAGUCAUGUUCCAAAGUUGUACAGAUUUUAUUUAUGAUCAUGAGAACUCCUUUGUAAACUCAAAUCCAAUUUUUGAUAUGCUGUUAGAUCCCUUCUCUGAAUCCUAUAACAGUAUAGACCUAGAAUUUUAAGCAUGGACCCAAGAGUUUAGCAGUAGAUGAGUUGGGAUAGUAUUAUCUAGUCUGAUUAGAUUAUGUAUUCAUUGGGAUAGUUGUACCAAGGUAAAUCAGGAGGCUUGAAUACUGUAAGCUAGAAAUUAAGUUUAUUUACUUGAAAUUAAGCAUGAAGGUGUAGAUGUGAUAUUAGUAGUAUAUGAGGAAACAGAAGCAGCUGAUGUGUUUAGUAGGAUGGGCAGGAGUCGAAUAGAGUAUAAGUAUGCGAUGAUAGAUUAAGAGACCAAGUCAGACUCUCAGAUUCCAGCAGUAGUGCCAGUAUGUAUAGAAAAACAGUAAGGGAAGACGAUUCCUAACCCAUCCUCUUCUCAGUACAAAGAUUUGUACUUCAGCUAUCACGAGAUCCACUCAGGUCUUAUAUAUCAAAUCUAUGGUCACGAACUACGAUUAUGCACUUUUCCAUAAAUCAUGUACGGUUUUAGUUCCCAGUAUAAAGGAUCUCAGUUUACCUCGAAGUACGAAUCAAUUCUAUGAACACGACUUAUGUUCACACGUUUCCAUAGAAUCGUGUGCACUUUUAGUUCCCAGCAUAGGAAGUUAGAUCUAAAUCACUCAGUGUCACGAAUCAUGUCUCAUGAAUACAAAAAACUCAAAACUUAGGUCAUGCAGCUCAUAACUCAUGUACACAUAUCAUGUUUUACAGUACACUCUGCUUUCAUGACUCAUGCUAUGCCCCUACAGAUCAGAUAAAUUCAUACCAUGUCAUGUAUAUUAUCAGUUCAAACCUUUUUGGUAAAUCCAUGCUUAGCUACCUCAUGUUAGUCAGUCAGUCCCUUCUCGUAUGCAUAAUACUCUAUGGUCUCCUUAUAUUCAGACUAAGUACAAUUCAGUCUUGUAUACCCAGUAUUCAAUUACCAGUUAUUAAGUUAAUCAGAUAAGUUAUUAUAUUUAUGCACUCGUAAUCAGCUAAGUUCAUGCAUCAUGUCUCAGUUUCAGAUCCCAGCUAUUAAUUCACAAUUCUAUUCGUAAGUGCCUUGUACACCGCCUUAGGUUUCCUUAGUAUCAAUUACAACCUCGCACAAUUACUGAUGUGUUUUGCACCUUUUCCUCAAUAUUUUCUUCUGAUGUGAGAUUUUGAGUUAGUGAUAACAGGUAAUCUUCACAAACAUCUCUGUCUUAUGAUCAUCAAGACCAACAGUCAAUUACAGUAUCUUUGGAGGACAUAACACUGGACAACAAUUUGCUUUUACAGGGGUUUAUGGUCCAUGUAAUAGAAAGCUGAGGAGAACUCUAUAGAAGGAACUUGUUGCUAUUAAUGGUAUUAUUCUACAACCAUGGGCUGUUGGAGGAGAUUUCAAUGUGAUAAGGUUUGCGGAGGAAAAAUCUGGAGCAGCCAGAAACACCAAACAAUUAGAGAACUCUCAAAUACUAUUAAUAAGCUUGAAUUAAAAGAUCUUUCUCUUCAUGGUGGUGAUUUUACGUGCUUCAAGGCUGGAUAGUUUUAUUAUUUUAGAGAGGUAGGAUGAGCAUUUCAAAUGCAUCAAACAAAGAGUUCUUCUCAGAACCACCUCAGAUCACUGUCCAAUUAUUUUAGAAUAUGGUGAUUGGGGAAAAAGAAAAAAUAUACUUCAAGUUUUAGAACAUGUGAUUUGAACAUAAAGAAUUCAUUGAUUUGAUCAAAAACUGGUGUGAUUCGUAUGCAGUUGUAGCAGAACCUGAUGUGAUCCUUGCAAGAAAAUUGGUUUUGCUUAAAGAAGACCUAAAAAAGUGGAACAGGGAGGUGUAUGGAAAGUUGGAAGAAAGAAAAAAUAAAGCUUAAGUUACACGGGAGCAGCGAGACCAUAAUAGACGGAAUAUUUCUCUUGAACACCAAGCAAAAUUUGAGGCAUAAAGGCCAUCGAUCAAGAAGUAGAUGGAAGAGGUGGCAAAGGCGAAAGAAAUCUCUUGGAGACAGAAGUCUAGAUGCUUAUGGAUAAAACAUAGAGAUAAAAAUACUAAAUUCUUUCAUAAGUAGGCCAAUGCUCACAAAAGAUUUAAUAGCAUUGAUAAAUUAGUUAUUGGAGAGGAGCUAGUGGAGGAUGAGCAGAACAUUAAAGUCCAUAUUUUGGACUUCCAUAAAAUCUGUUCAGUGAAUCAGAAUCUUGGAGACCCAACUGGGAGGAUGAUAGUGUUAAGAGGUUGUAAAGUAAAGAAAAGGAAUAGAUAGAAAGGUCUUUCACAAUGGAGAAACUGGAAGAGGUUAUAAAAACUUCCAAAGGAAAAAAGGAUCCUGGACUUGAUGGAUUUAACCUAUUUCUCUUUAAAAAAUAUUGGGAGUAUUGUUAAAAUGGAUAUUUGAAGAGCAGUGGAUGCUUUUUACAAGAAGGGAUCUUUUGUCAAGAGCUUGAAUUCUAUAUUCAUUACUCUAAUCCCUAAAAAGAAAAAAGCGGUGGAGGUCAAAGAUUUCAGACCUAUUAGCCUUUUGGAGAGUGUAUACAAAAUCAUAUUAAAGCUUCUGGCAGAAAGACUUAAGAAAGUUAUCAAUAACUUGAUGUCUCCCAAUAAAAAAGCUUUUAUCGAAGGAAGGAAAAUUAUUGAUGUUGCAACGAUAGCUAAUGAAAGUCUAGAUAAUCUGAUAAGAAGGAAGAAAAUAGAGGUGGCGUGUGAGUUGGAUUUAGAAAAGGCAUACGAUCAUGUCAAUUAGUAGUGCCUAUUGAAUCUUCUGAGGUAGAUAAACUUUGGUGAGAAAUGGACAGAAUGGAUCAGAUUUUGCAUCUCAACGGUGAGAUUUUCCAUCUUAAUCAAUGGUGACGCUCAAGGUCAUUCCAGCUCUUACAGAGGCUUGAGACAAGAGGGUCCUUGUCUCCUUAUCUAUUUGUUAUAGUAAUGGAAAUUAUCAUUACAAUGUUAAGGAAAGCAGACUGCUUGGGUUGGUUAAAAGGUAUAAAGACAGGUAGAAAUGAUCAGGAAGGCAAGAUGCUUAAUCAUAUUCUUUAUGCAGAUGAUUCUCUUCUAUUUUGUGAGGAUGAUAGAGAUCAAAUUUUGUAUAGGGGUUCUGUCAUGUUUUGAGGCAGUCACUGGCUUGAAAAUUAAUCUGGCUAAGAGCAAAAUCUUUAGUAUUAAUGCUGAUGAUUAUGUUGAAAAGCUGGCAGACAUUUUAGGGUGUAAAGGUGAUAAAUUCCCCCCUACUUAUUUGGGGCUUCCAUUAGGGGUGAAGAAAAGGGCAAAAGCAUCUGGUAAGGAGUUGUUGAUCAUUGUAAUAAGAAGCUGACUCCUUGAAAAAAAAAAAACAUUUGUCAUUGGGGAAGGCUUACGUUGAUUAAUAGUUUCCUGGAUGGUUUGCCUAUAUAUAUGAUGUCUCCAUUUAAAAUGUCGGUAGAAGUUUAAAAGAAGUUGGACUCCAUUAAUAGAAAAUUAUCAUGGAAUGGAAAUGCACAUAAGAGAAAAAUUCAUUUGGUGAAGUGGCAAGUGGUCAUUGGAGAUAAGAAAUCUAGGGGUUUCGGUGUGAGGAAUCUGAAAAUGCACAAUAGAAGACUACUUUUUAAAUGGCUAUGGAGUUAUAGUCGAACAAGUAUUGUCAAAAAAUGUUAGAUGCAAUAAAUGGUGAAAACGAGGGAUGGAAACAAAAUCCUUCACAAUUGAAGGUUUGUAUAGGAAUCUAGAGAAAAAUAAGUGAAGAAUGGGAGGAGUUCUUACAAUAUGCAAGGCUGGAGGUUGGCAAUGGUGCCAGAAUUAAAUUAUGGACUGAUACUUGGUGUGGAGACGAAAGUUUUAAAAGCAGAUUUUCAUAUUUGUUUAGAUGUGCUUUGAACAAAGAGGGUCCCGUUAUAAAUUUCUAUCAAGUUUCAGGCUGGCAUAUUACUUUCAGGAGAAACUUGAAUGAUUGGGAAGUGGAGAGUUUCUGCCAACUAAUGCAACAAUUGAGCACAUGCUUAAUAGAUAGGGACAAAGCUGGCACGUUAGUUUGGGUCAAUAACAGGGAUAAAUUAUUUUCAGUCAAAAGUUUUUAUAAAAUGUUGUUAAAACAGAAUAAUCAAGGGAUUCUAACUGGCGGUGGAAAAUGAUCUGGAGAACUAAGAAACCCUUAAAAGCAACUUGCUUUGGUUGGUUAGCAGCCAGGGAUGCUUGUUUAACGAAAAAUAAUCUGCAAAGGAGAUGAUGUUCCAUGUACAACAGAUGUUUUCUUUGUUAUAGGGAGCUGGAAACGGUUGAGCAUUUGUUUCUUCAUUGUAGAUUCUCAAGACAAUGCUGGGAAUUGUUUCUUAUCAUAAUAGGUGUGGCCCUCGUUAUACCACAGAAGAUCAGCAGUCUGUUGGAAGUUUGGCAAGCUCAAAAGGUAAAGAGAAGUAUGAAACAAAUAUGGAUGAUUAUUCCCAUUUGUAUAUUUUAAACUGUUUGGUUGGAAAGGAACAAGAGAUGCUUAGAGGGGAAAAGACCACAGAUUGCUAGCUUAAAAAAUAGAUAUAUCAAAAACCUAUUUUUUGUGUUAUUGCAGCAUUGUAGAUAAGAUGGACCAAUCUUUGGAUUUUUUGAAAUUUUUAGGGGGUAAUAUGUAGUAUGUAUGUGGAGAUGUUGUAGCUUUGUCUUGUACUUGGCUUUGUACCAUCUUGGUACCUUCUGAAUAAAAAGUUUUACCCAUAAAAAAAAAACCAUCUGUUUCUUAUGGCCUUACUUUUACACUAUUCCCUGUGAGGGCUUUAAAAGCACUAGAGCAUUAACGGUAGGUUCAUAUCCCUACUUAUGUGGGACACUUAAUAUAUUGUAUACCUUAACUAUCUAACAAAAAAAGGACAAUCCAGUGCACUAAAGUUCCCGCUAUGCAUAGGGUCUGGGGAAGGGCCCCACCAUAAGGGUGUAUUGUACGCAGCCUUACCUUGCAUUUCUGCCAAAGGCUAUUUUUGAGGCUUGAACCUGUGACCUCCUGAUCACAGGAAGCAACUUUAUGAGUUACUUCAAGGCUCCCCUUCAACAAUCUAACAAACAAUAUAACUAAAAUCUAUAUGAAACUUUGCAAUGGGCGGAAGGUGUCAAAAGCUAAAAUCAGGCAAAGAAUCUUGUUUUGUUGUUUCAUAUGAGUAUAUACAAAGAAGAAAGGUCUUUUUGAGAUCUUGUUUGGUUGAUUCAUUGUCAAAAUAGGUGGGUUCUUCGGAGGCAGUUAGAAAUUGGGCUAUGGAGGCACGAGGUGUAGAAGGUGGCAUGAAAAUUUCUAAGGUGGGGGGCUCACAAUUCCUCGCUCUAUUUGGGAAUGAGAAGCAGGCUUCUUUAUUCUUCUAGGAGGAAGGAGAUGGCUAGGAGGGAACUAUGUGAGACUAGAAUAUUGGAAAGGUGGUGUUGGGUGUGUUAAUCCAUUAUCAUUCAGUAACUCUACAAUCAUAAACUUGGUGGGGUUACCGGCACACGUGUGGUGCUAUGAUCUCUUUAAGAAAGGGAGAUCUAAGUGGAGGCUUUAUGGUUGUUGUUUGUAGCAUGCAUGAUCUGACAAGAGUGAGGAUUUUAGUGAAGAAAGGCGGCAAAGUUCCAAUUUCAGCGGUAGUUGAUGAUGGAGUUUUGAAUCUGGAUGUUUCCAGAGUUCAGACCUAAGAUGAGGUUGAGGGAGAGAAAAAAUGAGGAUGAAGGAGGAGAGAAGGGGUGGGAGGGAAAUGUGAGGGUCUUCUAGGAGGAAAAGGUUGAUUCCCAGAGUUCCUUAUCGAAAAAUAUGGGUUUUAAGUCUGUAACUGUUAGGAGGUCAAAGUCAAGGGUUUUCUAAUUUAGGGCUGAAGGAGUAAUGGAGAAAAGACAUUCUUACCCCUGGUUAAAUGAAAAUGUUUAGACACACAAUCGGAAGAAUUAUCGGCUACCAAACCUCAUUGGUGGGACAGAUGCAGUGAAUAAAAAAUGCACAAAAAAACCCUCCGUCACCAAAAAAUAGUUAGAAUUUGAAAAGAACACCACCAAAAGCUUCGAAGGUGUGUCGUGAGUCCCUAGGAAGAGUUUGCUCGAAAGGGGAGGCAGAAACUCACCUGAACUCUAUGCCCAGCACCUUAACGUCAUCUCUUUAUCGGAAUUCUAACUCUGGCGACCUUUCUUUGAUUGGAUCUAGGGUGGGUCAAACUCAGAAUUCUAUUUUUAACGGGUAAGAUCAGUUUAGAGGUCCAACUAAGGGAGGAAUAUGGGUGCAGCAGCCUUCUAAGGCAGUUUCGGUGACCUCGCCAGCACCAUAAAUGACUGAAAUUACUGCUAGUGGUUCGGGUUUGAUAAAUCAGCCCAGCUCUUUUGUUGUUUCAAACAGGGGGGAGAAAGAGGUAAUUAACGGUAUCAGUGGUGACGGUAUCAGUGGUGUUGUUGUGGAGUUUCUGGUUAAUUCUUCGAAACCCAAAAAUUUCAAAAUUCUUCCUAGUGGGGUCUAAACUGAUUUCAGUUGCUUGGGGGUAGGUGGAGAUGGGGUUGAUAUGUUUGUUGGCUCUUGAAAUGGGGUUUCCCACUAGAGUGAUGGCUCAAUUAAGGAACAUGGUACUGUUUUGGAAGGAACAAAAGAGGAAAGUUGUAUGUCCAAAUGGGCUGAAGAAAAGUUUCUUAAUUUUAGAAAACUUUUGGGGUUGUCCUUUGCUGGAAUGGAGGAAAAAGUUAUUGAGCUCUUGAAUAACAUUGAUCUAGAGGCUACAGGGGAGGUAGAGUUGGUGACUAAGGACUUGCUAGAAAAGAAAUCUAUGGUGGAGGUACAAAAACUAAAGUGACAAAUUGUGGUGUAUAGUAGAAGAAAUAAAGUGAGGAUGGAGGGAAUAAGUUGUUGAUGGAUUGUAAAAUCAUUAGCUAGAAUGUGAGGGGAUGAAUGACCCAAAUAAAAGGGUCAUCAUCAAAGUAGGUUUUAGGGAAUGAGGGGAUGAUGUAAUAUGCACAGAAACAAAAAUGGAAAUCCUAUCAGAUAGCAUUAUUAGAAGUGUGUGGUGAGGAAGGUGGGUGAAGUAUGAUUAGAUUCCAGCCUGGGGAAGUGUGGUACGAAUUCUCAUUCUUUAGGAUAACAAGAAAUUGAUGAGUAUGGAGGUUAUCAAAAGGAUGCGGUUUAUAAACACUAGUAAUAGCAUAGAGUAGGGUUUCGGGGGCUUUCAUGGACUUGUGGGGGAGCGGUUUAAGGAGAUAUUUUGGGAAAAAUUAGGAAUUGGGAUGGGUAGGUGGGAUAUACCUUGGGUGUUAUGGGGGAUUUCAAUACCAUUAUAUAUUCGGAGGAGCGGUUUGGGUGUAGUGUAGUGUCUAGGGCCAUGGAAGCUUUCUCAAAAUUCAUUAACAAUUUUCUCUUAUUGAUUUGCCUUUAUCAGGUGCCUCUUUCACAUGGUCCAGGGCAUAGGAUUCUUCUUCUAAAUCGUGACUAGACAGAUUUCUUGUAUUUACUUCUUGAGAGGAAUUGACUCCCCAUAUAAUCUAGUUUUCUCUCUCACGAUUGAUUUUUGAGCAUUGGCCUUAUCAUGUUAGAUGAAAGCAGAGGAAGAUGGAUGAGACCUCCUUUCAUAUUUGAAAAAAUAUGACUAAGCGUGUCCAACUUUACAGAUAGAGUGGUGGAUCAUUGGAGAAGUUACUCAGUGGAGGGGAUUCCGUGUUAUAGGCUAGCAAAGAAGUUGAAAUUGCUUAAAAAGGACAUAAGGGUGUGGAAUAAAGAGGUGUUUGGGAGGGUAGAAGUGAAAAUAAGGAAGAUGACAAAUGAAUUAAGAGAGAUAGAAAAGGUAGAAGCUAGGCGUGAGUUAGAGGAAAGGAAGAGGGAAAUGAAAGAUAGGUUGAAAAAGGAACUAGCUGAGUUAGCUUUGGCUCAAGAAAUUAGCUGGAGGCAAAAAUCGAGAGCAUUGUGAUUGGAGGAAAGAGGACUCAAAUACAAAAAUUUCCAUAAGGUAGCAAUUGCUAAUAGGAGAAGAAACUUCAUUGAGUUGAUAGAGUUAAAUGGGGUGGUGCAUAUGGGGAAGAAGAUGUAGAGGGAGCGAUUGUAAAGUUUUACAAAUGGUUGUUUAAAGAGAAAGCAAUUUGGGGGCCUAAACUGAUGGAUUUAGAGUUUAAUCACAUUAGUGGAGAGGAGUGUGCGUGGUUAGAAAGGGAAAUUUAGGAGGAGGAAGCAAAAAGGCAGUAGAGUAUUGCGCAGGUCAUAAAGAUCUGAGGCUUGAUGGUUUCUCUUUGGCUUUUUUCCAGCAUUGCUCGAGCAAGGUCAAAAAUAAGGUGAUGGCUACUAUUGUUGAGUUUCAAGAAAGAUGUGAUUUUGAAAAAAGUUUAAAUGUUUCAUUCAUCGUCAUCAUCCCUAAGCAGGAUGGAGCCUCAAGCAUAAAAGACUAUAGGCGUAUUAAUCUAGUGGGAAGCAUCUAUAAGAUCAUCUCUAAGGUGCUUUCCAUGAGACUUAAGAAGGUGCCAAACGAGACUAUAUCUACUUUACGGAAUGCUUUUGUGGAGGGUAGACAGACUUUGGAUGCAUUUUUGGUAGCGAAUGAAGCAGUAGAUUCAAGUAGAAAGCAAAGUGUACCAAUUGUAUUGUGCAAGCUAGAUAUGAAUUGGCGUUUCCUAGAUGCCAUUAUGCUACAAAAAGGAUUUGGGAGAAAUGGAGAAAAUGGAUUUAUUGCAUCUCUUUAGUUAGAUAUUCUGUUUUAGUGAAUGGCAAUCCUUGCGGAUGCUAUUAUGCUACAAAUGAGAUUGAGGAGAAAUGGAGAAAAUGGAUUUAUUGCAUCUCUUUAGUGAGAUAUUAAGUUUUUGUGAAUGGCAAUCCUUGUGGUUUUUAUGGUGCUCCCAUGUUGUUCAUCCUAGUAAUGGAACUAUUGAGCAGCGUAAAGAGAUCAUGAAAGGCUUCAUAAAGGGUUUUAGUGUUGCAGUUGGGGUGUUGGAACAAUUUUAGUUUCUCACUUGUUGUUUGCAGAUGAUACUUUGGUCUUUUGCAACGCAGAUAGGACCCAACUGGAUUAUUUAGGCCAAGUCCUCACUUGGUUUCAGGUGGUAUCAAGCCUUAAAAUUAAUAUGAGGAAGUGCAAUAUCUUUCCAGCAGGACGAAAUACUCAACUCAUGUGGUCCAUAAAUGCAGUUGGGGCAUUAGUCAAACCAAAGGACGUCAUCAAAAACUCAAAAUGAUCAUACCGGGUUUGAAAAACAGUCUUAGAGAUAUUCACUCCCCUAAUCUUUAACCGAUGGUAACCCGAUUGAAGAUCAAUCUUGGAGAAACACUUAGCACCCUGAAGCAGAUUGAAGAGAGCAUCGAUCCUAGGAAGCGGAUAGUUAUUCUUCACCGUCACCUUAUUUAACUGGCGGUAAUCUAUACACGUCCUUUUUAUGCACGAAGAGAACCGAAGCACCCCAAGGAAAAACACUAAGGCGAAUAAAACCCUUAUCUAAAAGAUCUUUCAACUGCUCCUUGAGUUGUUCAACUCAGCCAGAGCUAUUGACACCCAAUUUUUUCCUUCACAAUUAAAUUUAAUCCGGAGUUUCUUCGAUUUAAAAUAAAAUUAAGAUAGUUAUUUUAUUCUGAUAAAAUCUCUCCAAAGUAUCUAUCUAUGUAAUUUGGUCAUUUUAAGUAACGGUUAUAUAUUAUCUUGAUCAAUUAUACGAGAUUAUAUAAUUUGUUUACUUAAAUAUUUAUUCCAUGGAAUUUCAGAUUUUUAUCAAAAUUUACUAUGAAAAGGAUUAAAAUCUUAAAUCUUGAUUUAAAUGGAAUUCAUUCUAUAAAGAGAUUUAUUUGGAUGAAUACGUGUUUGAUUUUAUCAAAUCAAGAGGCUCGGGAUCAAAAUAAGGAUUUAAUUCGCAUCAAAUUUCGAUUUAAUUCAGCCAAUUUAUUUUUGACCAUAAAGAAAACCAAAUUGGCCACAAUUGCAAUGCAAAUUGACCAAUUUAGUUUUAAAUUUUUGAUCAAAUCUAAUUAGAUAAUUUAAUCCUAAUUUGGGGUUAUUUAACCCAUUACCAACCCAACAAUAAUUAACUUGUCCCAAUUCAAGCACAAAAUCCCAACACUAAAUCUGCCUAUCCCCGCUUUAGCCCAUUCCAUAAAAUACCCAUAUCAGGCCCAACAGACUAAUGACCCAAGCCCAUCUUUAAAUCCUCUUUCCUCUUAUAUGCAAAUAACAGCGAAAGCAUGAAUAACCGCGUACAAACAUCAACAGUUGUACGCGCAAAAGCUCCAACCGAAUCAACAAUUUCAAUGACAACAUCUCUAAUUAUCCUCUUUUCAUGUUAAAUUUCAACCAAAAUGAGCUGCCAUCAAUUCAAUCACUCCAAAUCUACCAAAAUCUUAGCUUUUGUAGGUCUAUCACCCCAAGAUGAAGAUUUUUACUCCUUUUCCCUCUUGUUCUUGGUUUGAAUUUUGAAUUUGGAGUUGUUAUGCCUAUAAAUACAACCAUUAUUCAUUCAUUGAGAAAAAAAAGGAGAAAGAGAUUCAUCAGAAGAAGUUAUCAUCCAGUUCACAUCACUGUUUCCUUCUUGUUUUCUCAUUUUCUUUUCCGAUAUCGAAGUUUGAGUUCAAGUUUAGAUUGCCGACGGAAAUCCCCUUAGUUCACUGCCCCGAAAAAGGUGCGAACUUGCUCCCUUUUUAUUUCAUUUUAAUUUUCUUUUCCUAUAUCUAUUUUGGAUUCUAUAGACAUAGGAAUUGCCUUGAUUUCAAAUUGGUGUUGUUCCUGUUGUUUUUGGUCUUGUGGUUAAAAAAAAUAUAAAUAAUUUUAAUUUUGAAAGUUGUUUUGUGUAUGAACAUGUGAUUCUGUGAAUAUGUGUGUAUAGGGGUUUAUCGCUCUUUUUUUUAGUUUUUAUUUCUUCAUUUUGAUGUGAAUCGGAGGUGGUCUUGUCAGUAAAUCCUAAUCCCAUUAUAUUUUAUUUUGAUAAUUCGCUGAUUGUUUGAGUUUGUCGUUUGGCUAAUAUUGGACAUAAAGUAUGAAAUGAAUUGGAGUUGGUCGUUUUGUUGGCCGGUUAUGAAUGCAAACUUUGAAUAUAAUCAUUUAUCGUUUUCUAGUUGGGAAGCUAGAUGGUUGGUUUAGGACAUGGAAACAACAUACAAAACUAGUCUCGUUCAUUUUAGUUUAUAUUGUAGGUUCUGUAUAUUUCAGGUUCAUGCUCUUUCCUAUUUUCUUACGUAUAACCAAUUAUGGUUUCAUAUUAGGCGGUCCGUAUGUUAUUCUGCUAUGUUUCUUUAAGGUAUAAUCAAUCUUGCGGGUUAUACUAGCACUUUUACAUAAAACACAAAUUGUGACUUGUUAAGAAUUAUCCAUGGUAUUUUGCUUAGGUUACGGCAUUGUGUGAAACAAAGCUAAGUUUCUCGAGAAAAUUGAAGGAAAGGUGCCUUUUAAGUCUUGAAUGAAGGAUUGAUGACAUUGACCAACAGAUAGGUUCAAACAUCAUUAGAAAACUUGAUUAAGUUAAUUUUGGACUUGAUUAAUAUUUUCAAAACUUUCUAAUCUUUUCAAAAAUAUAAAUCAACCUAACCCAUACCCCUCUUUAAUCCAAAUCAACCAUUCUCUCUCUCUCCAGCUUCUCUUAACUCUCUCCCAACCAACAGUUCUGCAAAAUCUCUCCUUUCAACCUCCGGUGACAAAUAAUCGAACGAGUUCCUUUUCAACUUUCAACCGUCAAUCGAUGUGAAUACUUCUCCGGCGAUAACAACUUCGAGUUCUUCGUCCUCCCAUUUCUUUUUUCACAAGUAAAAAAUUAUGAAGAAACAGGGAAACUUGAGCCAACUACUCUUCUGGUAUUGAAAUGUGGACUGAAUAAAAUCCUAAUUUCUGGGAUUUCUGCAUUUUUUCUUCUUGUUGUCGUACUGUUGAUUCAAAUUUAUUGGUAUUUUUUAUCACAGUUAAUGUUCUCUGUGUAUGUGUGAUAUGUUGGUGUUGCUGGGUUGAUUUGUUGUUUGUCUUGGUAGAAAUGGUAUUGCAACAGUUGAAACAUCUGAUGUAAUAGAUGAAACAUAUGAAGCAACAGAUGAAAAUCUGAUGCAACAGUUUAAAAAUCUGAUGCAACUAUGAAAAUCUGAUGCAAUAGGUGAACAAUGUAACAGAUCCUUCAUCUGUUGCGACAGAUGACUCUUCUGUUUGGAAUAAAUCUAAACAGUAUUGAUCCAACAGAUAACUGAUUAGUGAUCUGUUUUUAUUCUUUCCAAUGGUUUACUCUUCAUUUUACAAUAGAUUAGGACUAUUUUUAUUCUUUCCAACGAUUACUCAUCCGUUGCAACUGGUCGGUUAUCUGUUGCAACAGAUAACAUACGUGGUGCAACAGAUUAGUUGUCUAUUGGAACUGUUAUAUUACUGUUAUGCACUAAUCAAUUAUAAUCUNNNNNNNNNNNNNNNNNNNNNNNNNNNNNNNNNNNNNNNNNNNNNNNNNNNNNNNNNNNNNNNNNNNNNNNNNNNNNNNNNNNNNNNNNNNNNNNNNNNNNNNNNNNNNNNNNNNNNNNNNNNNNNNNNNNNNNNNNNNNNNNNNNNNNNNNNNNNNNNNNNNNNNNNNNNNNNNNNNNNNNNNNNNNNNNNNNNNNNNNNNNNNNNNNNNNNNNNNNNNNNNNNNNNNNNNNNNNNNNNNNNNNNNNNNNNNNNNNNNNNNNNNNNNNNNNNNNNNNNNNNNNNNNNNNNNNNNNNNNNNNNNNNNNNNNNNNNNNNNNNNNNNNNNNNNNNNNNNNNNNNNNNNNNNNNNNNNNNNNNNNNNNNNNNNNNNNNNNNNNNNNNNNNNNNNNNNNNNNNNNNNNNNNNNNNNNNNNNNNNNNNNNNNNNUGUAUGAAAACAAAGAUAAGAUGGAUGAGGUGUGGAUAAAUUACUGUGACAUGCCUGUUUGUUUUGGUUGGGAGGAGUUUGUCGUAGUUACCGGACUAAAAUGUUAUCCUCCUUCUCCUUCUCAAGUUAUACCUACUCUGACCCAAAAAAAGCACCCCGCACACCCAAAAAAGGAAAAGGCAAGUCGAGUAAUCGUGAUGACUUGGUGUCCAUUGUUGGUUCAAGCUUCAAAAACAAAAAUCUGAUUGAAACGUUGAAAGGUAAAGGACUUUCAAAGAAGCACAAGCAAUCAUUGUGCUUGGUUUGGUUUGUACAUAAUGUUCUUUGGGCGAGAGACUUUAACAACAACAUAAGCCUUGGUUUAAUAAAUCUGUCCGAGGAUCUUGAGGCAUUUAACAGCUAUCCUUGGAGUUAUGAAAGCUUCAAAAUGACUGUCGAAUAUUUGUUGACUCCGUUAACGUCAAAAAUAGUCAACUUAAAUGGUUUUCCAUGGGCCUUCAUGAUAAAAAUUUCUUUUAUCCUGAUAUGAUUCAUCAUUUUUUUAUUCAAUAAUGCUUUUGAUUUAUUAGUGUUAUGUUAUAGGCUUGGGUAUUUGAAGUCAUUCCUUAUUUGAGACAACAAGUGAACUACCAGGAAGAAGUUUCCUGUCCAAGAAUUCUGAGAUCGUUGUCGGCCAAAACCAAUAAAAAUGCAAAAUUUCUUGAUCUUUUCAAUCUUCCAAGGAAGCAGUAAGUACAAUUCUAAUCGAAUUUUUGUUUUAAUUAAUGAUUAAAUGAUUUCAUCAUCAUUCUUAAUAUAUGUACCGAUUUAUUUUAGAUUGUCCAUCUGUGGCUUGUUCUGACCAAAGAGAGUUGAAGAUGCCAUUUUUUUUACUUUAUAAUCUGUGCAAACUUUAUCGGACCCUAAGUUCGUUGAUGGAAUAAAAAUGGAAUUGUUUGGAGCAACAGCCAUCACAAGAAAAAUAAUUUUCGUGGGUGGGGUAAUGAUGCUCCUCUUAUAGUUUUUGAAACAACAAGCCAUUAUGAUUAUGAUCAUAAUGGUUGUACAGAUUUUUCUCCAAAUUUUGCCGCAUCUAGCGAAUGUUCUUCAUGAAAAUGUCAAGACUGUAAGGCGAAACACGAUGGAGUGAUUAAUGCUAUUAAUGCACUAACUGCUUCUGUAAAGAAAAUGACAUCUAAGAGGGGUGUCAUUCCAUCAAAGAGGAUUUUAUAUCCAAACACUCCACUAGAGAUCAAGGCGGCUAAGAGGAGAAGGAAAGACACUUCCAAGGCAUCAUCAAUCAUCAAAAAAGCAAGAUUGCAAUGCCUCUAUCUUUGUCUUGCACCGAUGUUCAGUGUGCAAGGGCCACAAAAGAGCAACAUGAGCUGAAGAAGGUGAAUUUACAUCAUCUAUUCCAAAAAACAAAUAGGCACAUAUCUGUUUCAACAGAUGAUACAUCUGCUGAAAAAUAUCAAACAGAUGUAUACAUCUGUUACAACUGUUGUCUAACCUAUUGCAUCAGAUUCAUUAUCUGUUUUAACAGAUGAGUCUUAUGUUGCAAUAGAUGGGUCAUCUGUUCAAAAUUAUCGUACUACUCUGAUUUACCUGUUCGAAUUUGUCCCAACAGAUAGUCCAUCUGAUGCAACAUAAGACUUAUCUGUUACAACAUAUAGAAAAUCUGUUGUAUAUCUCUACUUAGCAUUGACAAUUCUUAGUUUUUAGGUGGAUUUCACAGCUACUGCCGAAGAGCAUAAUAUGAUAGUUGAUAAUGUAUCAACUAUUAAAAAAGAUGAAGAAAAAAUAGAUCCUAUCAGUUUGGGAGAAUGGAAGAAUUACUCGUUUGAAGGGUUCAACAUCUCGGACAAGGAUCUAAAAAAACUAACACAAUUGAUCAACGACUAUUCAGAAUGGAUUGUCGAUGGGCUGUUAAAGCAUCAUGCCGGCAGGUACAUAAAUCAAUUUUAUGGAUAUUGGUUUAUACAAUUCUUGUUGUAAGAACCUGACAUUAACAUAUAUAAAUCAUCAUGUAGAAAACAAAAUGACGAGCGCUAAAAGUGAACGAAUCGAGUCUUGGUUUUGAUAUGUUCGACUUUGUUGUUGCACUUUCCAGAAUGAAGAAUUGGUUCUAUUUGAUGUCACGGCCUCAAACUUGCUGGAAUGAUGAGGUUUAAAUACCAUACAUAUUACUAUUAAUUAAUACUUUAUUUAAUUGCAUUUGCGUAUUGAUUUUUCAUCACGUAAUCCGAAAUGUUUGAUAAUAUGUGCAGUACAUCGAUGUCAUUUUUUACUACCUCCAAAAGAAGGCCAAGUUACAAACACAAGAACAAUACAAAUACAGAACAGGCAAUUGUUUGUACAAAGUUUACAUAAUAAUGCCUAUGAUAGGUAUUGUCAACAACAGCCGAAAGUUUCUCGAAACGUGGAAUGCUUAAUCAACAUCAUCAAAGGUUUUAGCAUUCCGGCUGGCUUACCUUGCAUUUGGUCGAUGAAGUAUACAUCCCAAUCAAUUAUAGUGAUGAAUUCCAUUGGGUGUUGGCUGUCAUCAUUAUAAAAGAGAGGCGCAUUCGAGUUUAUGACUCGAUGUCGCGAAGGAGACGUUCCAGGCCAUCGUCUGAGAUACAAAAGAUGGCCAAAGUAUUGCUAACUUACCUUGAUAUGAGUGGCUUUUUGGAUCAAAAGGUUCGUACUGAUUGGUCGACGAUUGAAGCAUACUGGGAUAAAAUGGAUAAUCCAUUUAAUGUACAAUAUGUUGACAGAAUUGCUCAACAAACCAUUGGUAGCCUGUAAGUUUAAGUGUCAUGAUUUAGUUUCAUUUUACAAAUUUCACAACGCUUGCAUGAACUGCAAGAUAUGGAUUAUCUAUUUUUUUAUAACACAGGGAUUGCGGUCCUUUUGUUGCUGCCUAUACCGUGUAUUUGAGCGAUGGAUUACAAGUACCAAAUGAUGGACUUGAUGCCAGAUUACUCCACAAAAGAUAUGCUGCUCUUUUAUGGAAAUAUGGAGAAGCGAAAGCUCAAAAGUUAUACGCAAUCGACGUUAAAGAUCCACGAUGACCGAAGUCGAAUUCCAUAGCACUGGAUAAAGAACAACUUGUCCAUAUUGAUUAGAUGUUUAUAGCUUGAGUCCGUCAAUGUAAUAACCUAUCCUCCUUGGUUUAACUUGUUGAUUUAUUUGUAGAGUAGAUCGUUUGUACUCAUAAUAAUUUUUUUUACAUUUCAUUUAUUUGUUGAGUUAUUUCAUGUAAUUUUCGAAGGCUUCAAUUUAUUUUAUUCUAUCUAUGAAUAUAAUUAAUUCUGAGUUUUGAAUAUGUUAAUUGAAAUGGAGUACUAGAUUCAAAUAUCGCAACAGAUAAUACAUCUGCUGCAAUAGAUGACAUAUCUUAUCAGAUAGAUUUAGACAUAUGUUGCAACAUGAGAUGCAAAAUAUAGGUCAUCUACUGGAAAUUAUAUAACAGGUCUUCCUACUUUUUUUUAUUUUCUCCAACAGAUUACCAAUCAGUUGCAACAGAUAAGUUAUAUGUUGCAACAGAUUGGUAAUCUUUUACGACAGACAGAUGGGGAACAUCUGCAUAACGCAACAGAUGACCAACCUAUUCUAACAGAUAAUCAAUCUGUCACAACAGGUACUAUAUCUAUUACGAAAGAUAUAAAAUCUAUUGCAUUAUAAAAAAUUUAACUUUGUCAGACAUAAAAAUUAUUGCCCCUACAUGUAUAGUGAAUUGGCUUGAAAUAAAAAUUUGUUAUCAUGUUCGUCUCUGUCUUUGUACAUGUUCUUUUUUAUACAUGGGCUCCAACCAUUUAGUUAGUACCCCAUAUGCCCAGACCCAUUACAUUUUUCCCACAACGGUGUCGCACACACCAGUUCUAUCGGCAGCAUCAUAAGCAUCCGAGUACGCUAAUUGCUUGCCCCUCAUGAGGCAAAGAAUUUUAUCAACAUACUGUGGUAUAAGAAGAUAAUUUUUGAAUAUGUUAGUAAUUGUAAAGAAUAAAAACACAGUCGAAAGAAUCCGAUGCAGAGGGUUCUCUGAAUCAGUUCACAGAUUACCCAGCCAACGCAACUUAUGCAACAGAUAUGUAUUAUGUUACAAUAGAAUACCAAGUUUUUGCAACAGAUUACACAUCUACUGCAUAGAUUCUUCUUCAUGGAGUAGAUUGGAAGGGUAGGUUAGCAAAAGUAAACUUACCUUGUCCUCGUACCACACGCACAUAUUUGUCAUAUUCGAGAAGUCUUUGGCGGCAAAUGAAUGCAUGGUGUAUUCUUUUUUAACCUUCAUCUUGAUGAAUUCUUCCAGUUCCUUCUUCUUCUCCUUGCCAAGCACAGCGAAUAUGUCCACCUUCUUCGGCGGCCCCUGAACUUCAACAACUAUUGGAGCAGGGGAAGUUGCAGUUUUGCUGAUUUCAUAACGGAGAGAAUUUAUCUAAUUUUUCUUCUCUUCCUCCUAACCUCCACUGUAGGAAUGCAUGGCUCCCUCGCCUUGUUGGAUGGUAUGACACCCCUUCUAGAUUUCAACUUUUCGACAGCUUCAGCAAUAGCCUCUAUCUUGUUGAGAAAUUUAUCUUCUCUGUCCUUGCACACUUUACAUUUGCAAUGAGAACAUGAGGGUGAAGAGGGGUGAGAGGGACCAUUGUAAGGGUGGGAAGGACUGGUGUAGGGGUGAGAGGGAGGACCUUUGCAAGGGGUGUUUUCAAACAUAUUUAUUUUUUUAGAGCACCAACAUGCUCAUAAUCACGAUUGAAAGCAGAAGCAGUAGCAGGAUGGCUGCCACCAUCUCAAAAAACUCCACCAGCAACACCCCCAGAAGAAGCACCCGGAUCUGUUGCAGUUUGAGUUUGGUCGUGAAGAGCUUCAACAUUAUACUGACCUUGCCUAACUGCUCUUCUUAUGGAUAUUUCUCCAUCCAAUUCCUUAUUUAUUAACUCCACCAUUGGGUCUUCUUUUGUAUCAACAAGACCCAGAGUAAGAAAAGAAGUCAUCCCCAGCUCAUCAAUGGUAGGCACGAUCCAAGGAUGCACAACCUAUAAAAAAACAAGAGGAAUUUAAAUCAUAUAAUAAUAAUUUGUAGUCAGUUGGGUACAUGGGGCUCGGGUUAUGUUAACACAACCAACUUAUGCAAUAGAUGAUCUAGCUACCGCAACAGCUGAUCUGUAUGUUGAAAUAGAUUGAUAAUAUAUUACAUCAGAAUACCCAUCUGUUGCAUAAUUUGCAGUAGAUGGGUAAUCUGUUGAGUAGGGUUCAGAGACCAGAGCAACAUAUGGUUAAUCUGCUAUGGAAUAUGGAUCGUCUGUUGCAACAGAUUACCCAUCUGUUACAUCAGUUGUAGUUGACCGAUAAUCUGUUGCAACAAAUGGAACAUCUAUUUCAAUAUCUAUCUUUGAGGCAAAUUAUUUUAGUUGAAAGAAUAUGUACUAUAUCAUCUGGAAGGUUGAAGAGAUCAGCCUCAUUAAUAUUUAUUUUGCUGAUCUCUACUGCAACCAACCACCUAAGGAUCCUUGGAUGAGAAACCCUAUCCGGGUAAUUCGUGAAAUGCUUUCAGAGAGGUGGAAUGGCUUCACAAGCCCAAGCCUAAAAAUUGUAAAUAGAAAUCAAGCAAAAAAAAAAACUCACAAUUAUAUUCAAUAUAAAUUAAUGAAUGAGUAAAAAUAGUGAUCAAUUUUACCAUGAAAGCCCAAGAAGAGCCGUAUAAUGUAGUCGUCUUUGGCUUUAUCUCUUUCAGUAAAUAUUUGACAGUCAAGUAGUAGCUGUCGUAGCCCCAGGGAUAAUCGUUGAAUUUUCCAAAAUCAUCAGCAAGCGACAAAAAAUCACAUUCUAUACUUUUUUGACGUCUCUUGCCAAUAAAAUGAAAUGGACAAACCAAACUAAGCACAAUUUCUCCUUGUAGUGUUUUGGUAUGUCUUUAUUCUUGAGAUCCGCUAUCAAAUCCUUCACUUUGUAGCUAGGUCCAACAAUGCCCAACAACCCAUAUAUUUUUACCUUGAGUUUGUUGGACCUUUUGUAGGGUGUUUUCUUGGUGGCAGGUUCUUCUGGACGAUUGCAUCUCAAAACCGUCACAAUGGCAAACUCUUUCAAUCCAAAACAAACUGGCAUGCCGCAGUAGUUGAUCCAGACUUCAUCCAUCCUUUUUUUUGCCCUUCUUUGGACCUCCAUCAUCCCCCGCAUACAUGAUCCUGCGCUUGAGAAGGCCAUAUACCAUGAUCAUUAGGAAACGAAGAGGGAGGGGCCCAGACAGCUCAAGAAAGUGUGCAAAGUAGCUCUUUUUAAAAAGGCCAUCUAUGUUUUCCUUCUUCAUAAUACUUCCAAGUUCAUCAAAAGAUUUCCCCAACUGACAUUUAUGUACAAUAUCACCAAAUACUUCUUUAAGGUUAUUCAUCGGCAUCGCAACUCGAAACUUGUCAAUACUAAUGGUUUUGACAGAAUCAUGCUGGAAUUUUGAUAUUAUUUCACGCCCCAUUGGUGAGGAGGAGUUAUCACUUUCCUCAGCUUCAUUUUUCCCUGACUGAGAUUGUUCUGGAAGUUUCUCCGAAUCUAUCUGUACUCUAGACUUUGUUGUUUGGUGAUCGAAAGUUGAUCCACUUUCUUCACUUUCUGUUUCUUUUCUUUUGGGAGACAUCUUUUAACUACAAACAAAAGAAAAAUGAAAAAUACAUUGCAUUUGAUGUCUGCAUAAUUUUUUUUAAAAAGGUAAGACAAAUUUCAAUAAAUUAUUCUUACCACAUAACCAAAAAAAAUACUCGAACGGACAACCCAUCAGUUAGAACAGAUGGAGAACCCGAAUCUGUUUGAAGACCUAUUUAAUAUCUCCCCAAAGAUAUUCCAUCUGUUGCAAUAGGUGGAGAAAUUUCAAUAAAUUAUUCUAUGCCACAUUAUAGGAAAAUAUUCCAACGGAUAACCCAUUAGUUGGAACAGAUGGGGAAUUUUUUUGAAGACCUAUUUAAUAUCUCCCAACAGAUCUUCCACCCAUUGCAACAGAUGGACCACCACUACCACAACCAAUGCCACAACUAAUACCACCAAUACCAACACCAAGACUACCGACACCACCGUCAAAAAAUGCAAAUACCAACACCAACAACAACAGACACCAACAACACCACAAAUACCAUCCAACAAUACCACGAUAGUCAACAAAACACUGAGACAAAAAAUAGGGUUUUCUCGGGUGCUUCCUACUUUUUUACCAUCAAAACUCAAAAUUGUUAACCUAUUCUCGGAGAUAAAACAACUAAAAGUCUACUUAUUUAUUAUUAACUAAAAAUCCCUUUUUUUUAGAAUAAAGAACAAAUGUAGACCUCUUCUUGAACUCUGUUACAUGUGAAGAUAGAGAAAACAAUGGUUACAAGCGGGAAUGAAGUCAAAAAACACAACUAUAUGUAGUCAUAAAUGGGAAGAAAAUUGACCUGUUUUGAAGGGUUGAGCAAUAUGUUGAGUAGUUGUUGUUUGUAUUGUUGAGAGGGAGAGGACACCGAGAGAGAGAGAGAAGAGAGAGAACUUAAGAUGUGAAAUAAAAAGUUUUUUGCGCAAAUGGAUGAUUUGUAUGGGCUGAUUUGUAAUUUUGGAAAAGAAUGACAAGUUUUGAAAUUGCUAAUUUGGUCUGAAUUGAUCUUAAUUAAUUUUAAAAAUUUUAAAAGAUAUAGUUUUUAAAACAUUGAGUUGAUGAGAACUCAUUUCAACUCAGAGUGAUCGAUCAAUGACUCGGAUCGGUAUGAACGCAAUACCAGCGCCAUGCAAUUGCAAAAACUCGAUUGAAUUUGUAGUUGACCCUGCAAGCUCAUUCAUUCAUUCCGAGUUCCACCUAAAUAAACUUAGGUACUAUCACUAUCCUAACAUUGAGUUGAUGAGAACUCAUUUCAACUCAAAAAGAUCGAUCGACAACUCGGGUCGGUAUGAACGCAAUACUAGCGUCAUGCAAUUACAAAGACUCGAUUGGAUUUGUAGUUGACCCAGCGAGCUCAUUCAUUCAUCCCUAGUUCCACCUAAAUCAACUUAGGUACUAUCACUAUCCUAACAUUGAGUUGAUGAGAACUCAUUUCAACUCAGAGUGAUCGAUCGACGACUCGGGUCUGUAUGAACACAAUACCAACGACAUGCAAUUGCAAAGACUCAAUUGGAUUUGUAGUUGACCGUGUGAGCUCAUUCAUUCAUCCCUAGUUCCACCUAAAUAAACUUAGUUACUAUCACUAUCCUAACAUUGAAUUGAUGAGAACUUAUUUUAACUCAAAAAGAUCGAUCGAUGACUCGGAUCGGGAUGAACACAAUACCAGAACCAUGCAAUUUCAAAGACUCGAUUGGAUUUGUAGUUAACUAUCACGACCCAAAUCGGGGGCCUGGCCGUGAUGAGCACUCCCGAACUUGAAGGCCCAGAACGCCCUGUGUCUACCUGGUAAUCAUGCACAUAAUUCAUAUGAUCAAAGUAAUACGGGUUAGACACAAUAAUACGGAAACAUGGUCAACAAUCUAAAAUAGUUAAAGGCCUAAAAACAUGCCCAACAAUAUUUAAUAAACAUCUGCAACAGUCUGCAAAAUCUCUACUGACAUAUUAUCUGAAUAACUGGGACAAGGCCCCCAGCAGACCAAAAAUCAUACUAAAAUAAAUACCUAAAUGACUAGGCCUUCCGAAGAAAAGAAGGAUCACCAACUAAACUCUAAGACAACCCUGUCUGUAGAAUCUACUGAGGAUUUGGACCCCUAGACUGUGCCUCAGUACCUGGGAAGAAGGGGGGUCAACAAAAUUGUACUGGUACGCGAAGCAAUCAAAAAUAGAAUAAUUGAACAUACAUAUAUAUAUAAUACGUGAGAGCAAAUUUUUAUCAAACAGUAUGCAUAAAACAGUUUCUGAAAACACAUGGGCAUCUUCUGAAAACAUGUAACCUGUCUGUAAAUCUUAAACUCUAAUCUGUGUAUUACUUCUGAGUUAGGUGGCAUCCCCUACAAGUCUGAUAUUCCAUGGGCGAUAUGGAAUCCCCUACAACCCGAGUAUGCCGCAAGGGUUGGAGUUCCUGAAUUUGAUACGCCACACGAUACUUAAGUCAUCUUAUAAUAAUAUACCCGGGUCGACAAACCACGGUUUUAGGCAAUGAGUUGCUUGAAAUCAAGCCCUCUUCAGGGAACCACCUAACAUCUUUGUAUGCUCAUUUUUAACCUAUUUUAUACAUACAACAUUCUGAAUGUCUAAAAUCAUGAUAGUCUGAAAUGUUUAUUAGUCUGAGUCUGAUAUGGCAUUGGUCUGAAUUGGUAUCGUCAUACCAAGACUUGCAAGUCAUGAUUUCUGAACCAUAAUACAUUAAGCUAAAUCUUUCAUAUAAAGCAUAAUUUAUACCAUCAAAAAUAUGCAACUGAUAUAGAAGAUUUCGCAUUUCAAAACUCAACUUAAAAUCAUGCAAAAACUUCAUCAACAUAUGGUGGUCUAGUGCCUUUAGAAAAUUUAUGCACUCUUUCAUUACAUGCAUUAUGAACAUAAAACAUUCAUGCUAGAUUCCCUCUUUAGUGAUUUAAAACCACCUUUAAAUCAUAACAAGAGUUCAAUCAUUUCAUAUAGUGCUUUUCAAGGAUGCAUUGCAAAACAAUUCAUAUGCUAUGAGAAAUCUGAAAAAUUCAUAAUAAGAGGAAAUUCACCAAAAAUCAUGCUCUCAACAAGAAUUCAUUCUUAAAUACAUGGUUUCAUACAUUCAUAUUCUCAAAUCAAUUUGGGGAAGUCAAAAGACCAAAACAAUGAUGUUAAAAUAUUUAAUACAUGAAUAUAUACAUAGAUUCAAAAACUCCAUUCUAAAACAUGAUUUUUCUAUGCCCAUGAGAAUUUAGGAAAAUCCUGCAUACUUCUAUUUCGAAAAAUAAUGGGUGCUUCUUGAAGUCUGUGGAUUGGGGAUUCUGAAUCUCUAAUCAAUUUUGAAAAUCCAUGGAUGAAUCUUGAUUUAUUUGAGUUUUUAGUUUGAAACCCUUGGGAGUGCUCUUGAGAAUUUUUAGAUGAAUGUGGAUGUAUUUUGGAGAAUUGGGGAUUGAAUUUCGUGUUUAUGGCUGAAUAAGGGUGGGAAAGGGACUAUUUUGCCCCAAAAUUGAAUGUUUAACUCACUUGAAACCAUUACAUAGGCUGCGCAUAUGAUAUCGCCUAUAUUUACAUAGGCGCUGUAUAUGCUAUCGCCUAUAUUUACAUAGGCGCCAGGUAUUCUAUCGCAUAUGCUUUCCAGUGGCCAUGUGCGAUUGGUUAGGCGACGCAUUCUACUUUGAAAGGCCAUAACUUCCUACUCGGAUGCUGGAUUUUAGAAAAUUGGUAUCGUUGGAAAGCUAACAUAAAAACCUAUCAUUUUACAUAUAGUAGGCUCUCUAAUUCGACAUAUACAAAGAGUCAUGGUCGAUAGAAGUUAACAAAAAUUAUAAUGUCCACUUAAACUUAAUCGAUCGAAGUAAUUUUCAACUCGUCCUUGAGUCAAAGGACCUCUUUGGUCUAAAUUCAAGCUUGAAUGGUUUCACAAACUACGCAAAUAAUUAACAUGCCAUAUUAGCAUAGGAUUUGUGGCUUCAGGAUUAUCAACGCAUCGAAAUCAUGGUCUAUAUUGUAACCUAAAAUGCGGGGCAUUACAUUAUCCCCCCCUUAGGAUCAUUCAUCCCCAAAUGAUGAUGCGGGACACAGACAGAUACGAUUUCAAGCAUAAUAAGGUCUAGGAAAGAUAAGAUAGGAAUAGUACCUUCUGUCUCAUCAUCCAUCAAAGCAAACAAAUUGGGAUCUCUAAUUCUCAUGUCAUCUUCUGACUCCCAAGUUGCUUCUUUAACUUUUUGAUUCCUCCACAAUACCUUCACUGAGGCUAUCUCUUUGCUCCUUAACUUUCGAACUUGGCAAUCUUAAAUUUCAACGGGCUCUUCUUCAUAAGACAAGGAAUCUGUCACUUUAAUAUCCUCUACUAGAAAUACCAAGGAAUGAUCUCUAAUGCAUUUCUUCAACAUGGAUACAUGGAAUACCGGAUGAACGAAACCCAAACUUGCAGGCAAUUCUAGCUCAUAAGCAACUACACCAAUCUUUCUCAGAAUAUGAUAUGGCCCUAUAUAGCAAGGGCUUAAUUUAACCCUUUUUCCAAACCGCUUAACUUCUUUCAUAGGAGAAACCUUGAGAAACACCCAAUCACCAACUUCAAACUCUAAUUCUCUUCUCUGAACAUUGGCAUAGGACUUCUGACGACUCUGAGCAGUCCUGAGUCGUUCUCAAAUGAUAUUCACUUUCUCCAUUGUCUGAUGAACAAGAUCAGGCCCAUACAACUGAGUCUCACCCACUUCAUACCAUCUUAUUGGAGACCUACAUCUCCUCCCAUGCAAAGCCUCAAAAGGAGCUAUCUUGAUGCUGGUAUGGUAACUAUUAUUGUAAGCAAAUUUAAUUAGUGGAAGGUGAUCUACCCAAAUACCUUUGAAAUCAAUGACACAUGCCCUCAACAUAUCCUCGAGGGUCUGAAUGGUACGCUCAGGUUGCCCAUCCGUCUGAGGGUGGAAAGUUGUGCUCAAAUUCACUUGUGUACCUAAACCCUUCUGAAAAGAUCUCCAGAACAGAGAUGAAAACUGUGUACCUCUAUCGGAUAUAAUGGACACUGGUUCCCUAAGCAACCUAACUAUCUCCUCAAUGUAAAUCUUAGCAUAACCCUCUCCCGAAUAAUUAGUCCUCACAGGCAAAGAGUGGGCUGACUUUGUCAACCGAUCUACAAUCACCCGUAUAGAAUCAUACUGGUUUCAGGAUCUCAAAAGUCCUGUAAUGAAGUUUAUGUUUAUUAUCUCCCACUUCUAUAAAGGCAGGGCUAUCUCUUGGGAAGUACCACCUGGCCUCAUGUGUUCUACCUUCACUUGUUGACAGUUCAAACACUUGGACACGAAAUCAGCUACAUCACGUUUCAUGUUAUUCCACUAAUACAAGGUUUUCAGAUCAUGGUACAUCUUAGUAGAGCCUGGGUGAACGACAUACCUCAAAGUGUGCACCUCAUCAAGGAUUCUUUCCCAUAGUCCAUCAAUAUUCGAAAUGCACAACCUACCCUGAAAUCUCAGAAUACCAUCACCACCAAUUUCAAACGACAUAACCUUUUGUUGACCCAUAUCUUUCUUGAUUUGCAUCAAGAUGGGAUCUUCAACCUGCUUAUCCUUAACUUCAGUACAAAGGGAUGACUUAGAUAACUCAUGAACAAUUACCCCUCCAUCUUCAGAAUCUAAGAGUCGCACUCCUAGAUUUGCAAGGAGAUGAAUAUCCUUCACUAUCUCUUUCUUUCCUUCUUCUACAUGAGAAAAGCUGCCCAUAGACAACCUACUGAGGGUGUUGGCUACAACAUUUGCCCUUCCCAGAUGAUAAUGUAGGCUCAUAUCAUAGUUUUUCAGAAGCUCCAUCCAGUGCCUCUGCCUGAGGUUCAAUUCUUUCUAUGAGAAAACAUACUGCAGACUCUUGUGGUCAAUGAAGAUAUCAACGUGAACACCGUACAAGUAGUGCCGCCAAAUCUUAAGUGCAAACACCACAGCUGCUAACUCCAAAUCAUAAGAGGGUUAGUUACGUUCGUGCACCUUCAACUGCCUGGAUGCAUAAGCCACUAACUUACCAUACUGCAUCAACACACAAUAAAGUCCCACACGAGAUGCAUCACAGUAUACCACAAAGCCAUCUACACCCUCGAGAAGGUUCAAAACAGGAGCAGUGGUCAGUUUGUCUUUCAAGUUCUCAAAAAUAUUCUCACACAGAUCAUACCAUACAAACUUCACCUUUUUUUGAGUCAAUUUAGUGAGUGGAGCAACUAUGGAAGAAAAACUCUCUACGAACCUUCUAUAAUAACCUGCCAAAUCCAAGAAGCUAUGAAUAUCGGUUGGAUUCGUGGGUCUGGGCCAUUUUCUCACUGCUUCAACUUUCUGGGGAUCCAUUCUUAUCCUGUCACUGGACACAAUAUGCCCUAAGAAGGUAAUAACAUCUAAUCAGAAUUCAUGCUUAGAAAAUUUGGCAUACAGCUGAUGAUCCUUAAGGGUCUGAAGAAUAAUUCGGAGGUGAUUGGCGUGAUCCUCUUUACUCUUAGAAUAGAUCAGAAUAUCAUCAACAAAUACAAUGAAGAAUAAGUCAAGAAACUAAUGGAAUACUCUAUUCAUAAGAUCCAUGAAUGCUGUAGGGGCAUUAGUAAACCCAAAGGACAAGACUAGAAAUUCGUAGUGACCAUAUCGGGUUUGAAAGGUUGUCUUGGGUAUGUCUGACUCCCUAACUUUCAACUGAUGAUAACCCAAACGAAGGUCUAUUUUUGAAAAACACUUGGCACCCUGAAGCUGGUCAAAAAGGUCAUCAAUCCUAGAAAGAGGAUACUUAUUUUUAAUCGUGACCUUAUUCAGCUGACGGUAGUCUAUGCACAUAUAAAGGUAACCAUCAUUCUUUCGCAUGAAAAGUAUAGGCGCGCCCCAAGGAGACACAUUGGGGCAUAUAAAACCCUUAUCUAGGAGAUCUGCUAACUGUUCUUUUAACUCUUUUAGUUCUGUAGGAGCCAUUCUAUAUGGAAGAAUAGAAAUAGGACGAGUAUCUGGCAACACAUCAAUACCAAACUCAAUAUCCCUAUCAGGUGGUAUUCCUGGGAGAUCAUUUGGAAAGACUUCUGGGAAUUCUUUUACCACAGGAACAGAUUGAAGAGGAAGACUCUCAGCAUUGGAGUCCUUAACUCGGAUAAGGUGCUACAAGCAACCUUUAGAAAUGAGUUUGCGGGCUCUGAGAUAGGAUAUAAAGUGCCCUCUGACUGCUAAAGAAUGUCCUUCCCACUCUAUCACUGGUUCAUUCGGGAAAGAAAAAGUGACCCUUCGAGUCCUACAAUCUAAUGUAGCAUAGCAUGAAUGGAGCCAAUCCAUUCCCAAGAUAGCAUUAAAAGUAACCAUAUCUAACUCUAUGAGAUCUGCUAACGUAUCCCGGCUACCAACAGUCACAACACAACCCCUGUACACCCUCCUAGCAAUAAUAGAAUUCCCCACCGAGGUGGAAACAGAAAAGGGUUCAGAAAUCACACUGGGAUCAAACCCAAAACCAACAGCCACAUAAAGGGUCACAUAGGAUAAAGUAUACCCAGGAUCAAGUAACACAUAAACAUCAAGGGAAAGGAUUUUUAACAUACUGGUAACAAUAUUUGGGGAAACUUCCGUCUCCUGGCGAUUGGUCAAAGCAUAUAACCGGUUGCGACUGUUCCCGGUAGUUGAUGUGGCGCCCUUCUGAGGUGGGGGUGGUGCUGAAGAAUUUGCCUGAGACUUUGCACCACCAAUAUUCUUUCUAGCAGAUGGACAUUCCCUCUGAAAGUGACCCGGCUGACCACAUAAUAACACACUAACGAGCCCAACUGACACCCUCCCGGAUGAUUUCUACCACAAGUCUCACACCGUAGAAAAGUAUGAUGCUGCUGAGUCACACUACCCUGAGUGAGUAUCCUGAGCUCUGGUUCCAUGGUUAGUCUGAAAACUCUGAGAUCGUCUGUCUGCUGGUGGUCGGGGUACUGGAGCGCUGGCAGUAGACUGCACAUUACCCCAAUUCUUCUUUUUCUGCCAUUUAUUUCCCUACUUACCACCCUGAGGCUGACUGUGACUCUGGUCGGCUGAUCUGGCUCUUUUCACUUGUCUUUCCACCUCCCUAGCUUCGAAGAUCUUCUUUUUUUUCUCUUCUACCUACUGCAUAUGAAUGAUCAGCCUAGUAAAUUCUAACUCUUUAUUCAAUAUUGCCCCUGGCACUCAAGCACCAGGUUAUCAGAAAGGCCGGAUGCAAAUUUCCUCAUUCGGGCUCUCAUAUUACUAGUCAACUUUGGUGCAUAGCGGGCUAGUUUAUUAAACUUCAAAGUGUACUCCUGGACACUCAUACUGCCCUACUUUAGAUUCAUAAACUCUUCCACUUUGGCCUCCCUUAACUCCAUAGAAAAGAAUCGAUCAAGAAAAGCUUUCACAAAUUCGCCCCAAACGGUGGGCUCAGCACUCUCACCUUUUGCAUCCUCCCAGUCGGCAUACCACUGAUUUGCAAUAUCCUUAAGCUAAUAAGUUGCUAGUUCCACCGCUUCAACCUCAUCCAUAUGCAUUACCUUAAAGAUCUUUUCGAUCUCAUCCAUGAACUCUUAUGGAUCUUUCUCCACCUUAGUGACAGUGAACUUAGGUGGGUUAAUUUUGAUGAAAUGUACGACCCUAGUAGCCUAAGAUGUAACAGAUGCAGACCCAACAUCUUUUGAUUGUUGAGCCUGGUUAGCUACCAAUUGUGUCAGCAUAUGAAUAGACCAUCUAAAUUUUGCAUUUGAAAUAUCUCUCUGAGCAGCCGGGGGAUGGUUGACAUCAGUCUGUGGAGCCCUAGGUGGAUUGGUCGGGAUUGGAGAGACUCCCGGAGUAGGGACAGGUUCUGGUGUUUGAGAUCUGUUAUGGGUCUGCAUCCCAUGGGUGGGACAGACCUCAUCUGCCCGAGCAUUCUGAUUAAUGAUACGACGUGGAGGCAUAACUGUGUUUCUAAAAUACAAGAGAUCAUUGAUUAGGGGACAAUUCAGACUCUGAAUCACAAACUAAAUCACAAAGAAGGGAAACCUUUCCUAAAUGCCUAGUAGCCUCUUGCUUAUAAGUGUGGCGUGCUACACACCCAUAACUAAGACUCUACCCGACGCGAUUUUGCAGACACCCUGGGACCAUGAAUCAUGCUUUUAUACCAAGUUUGUCUCGAUCCAAACUAGGGCCCUAUCCAUGACGAGCAUUCCCGAACCCAAAGGCCCAGAAUGCCCUCUGUCUAUCUGGUAAUCAUGCACAUAAUUCAUAUGAUCAAACUAAUACGGAUUAGACACAAUAAUGCAAAAACACGGUCAACAAUCUAAAACAGUUAAAAAACUGAAAACAUGCCCAAUAAUAUUUAAUAAACAUCUGCAACAGUCUGCAAAAUCUCUACUGACAUACUAUCUAAAUAACUGGGAUAAGGCCCCCAGCAGACCGAAAACCAUACUAAAGUAAAUACCUAAAUGACUAGGCCUUCCAAAGCAAAGAAGGCUCACCAAAUGAACUCUGAGACAACCCUGUCUGUAGACUCUACUGAGGAUUUGGACCCCUAGACUGUGCCUCAGUACCUGGGAGGAAGAGGGGGUCAGCACAAUUAUACUGGCACGCGAAGUAAUCCAAAAUAGAGUAAUUGAACAUAUAUAUAUAUAUAAUAUACGUGAGAGAAAAUUUUUAUCAAACAUUAUGCAUAAAAUAGUUUCUGAAAACACAUGGGCAUCUUCUGAAAACAUGUAACCUAUCUGUAAAUCUCAAACUCUGAUUUGUGUAUUACUUCUGAGUUAGGUGGCAUCCCCUACAAGUCUGAUAUUCCACGGGCGAUAUAGAAUCUGCCAUUGACUCGACGGGGAAGCCUCCAACCCGAGUAUGCCACAAGGGUUAGAGUUAUUAAAUCUGAUACGCCACAUGACACUUAAGUCAACGUAUAAUAAUAUACUCAGGUCGGUAAACCACGGUUUUAGGAAAUGAGUUGAUUAAACUCAAGCCCUCUUCAGGGAACCACCUAACAUCUCUGUAUGCCUUUUUUAACCUUUUCUGUACAUGCAACAUUCUGAAUAUCUAAAAUCAUGAUAGUCUAAAAUAUUUAUUAAUUUGAGUCUGAUAUGGCAUUGCUCUGAAUUGGUAUCGUCAUACCAAGACUUGCAAGUCAUGAUUUCUAAGCCAUAAUACAUUAAGCUAAAUCUUUCAUUUAAAGCAUAAUUUAGACCACCAAAAACAUGCAACUGAUAUAGAAUAUUUCGCAUUUCGAAACUCAAGUCAAAAUCAUGCAAAAACUUCAUCAAUAUAUGGUGGUCUAGUUCCUUUAGCAAAUCCAUGCACUCUUUCAUUACAUGCAUUAUGAACAUAAAACAUUCAUGCUAGAUUCCCUCUUUAGUGAUUUAAAACCACCUUUAAAUCAUAACAAGAGUUCAAUCAUUUCAUAUAGUGCUUCUCAAGGAUGCAUUGCAAAACAAUUCAUAUGCUAUGAGAAAUCUGAAAAAUUCAUAAUAAGAGAAAAUUCACCAAAAAUCAUGCUCUCAACAAGAAUUCAUUCUUAAAUACAUGAUUUCAUACAUUCAUAUUCUCAAAUCACUUUGGGGAAGGUCAAAAGACCAAAACAAUGAUGUUAAAACAUUUAAUACAUGAAUAUAUACAUAGAUUCAAAAACCCAAUUCUAAAACAUGAUUUUUCUAUGCCCAUGAGAAUUUAAGAAAACCCCACGUUUACCUAUUUCAGAAAAUAAUGGGCAUUUCUUGAAGCCUGUGGAUUGGGGAUUCCGAAUCUCUAAUCAAUUUUGAAAACCCACGGUUGAAUCUUGAUUUAUUUGGGUUUUUAGUUUGAAAUCCUUGGGAGUGUUCUUGAAAAUUUUUAGAUGAAUGUGGAUGUAUUUUGGAGAAUUGGGGACUGAAUUUCGUGUUUAUGUCUGAAUAAGGGUGGGAAAAGGACCAUUUUGCCCCAAAAACAGAGUGUUUAAGUCUCUUAAAAUCAUUACAUAGGCGCCGCAUAUGAUAUCGCCUAUAUUUACAUAGGCACCGGAUAUGCUAUCGCCUAUAUUUACAUAGGCACCGCAUAUGCUAUCGCCUAUAUUUACAUAGGCGUCGCAUAUGCUUUUUAGUGGCCAUGUACAAUUGGUUAGGCGACGCAUUCUACUUUGAAAGGACAUAACUUCUUGCUCGGUUGCCGGAUUUUAGCAAAAUUCGUAUCGUUGGAAAGCUAAAACCUAUCAUUUUACACAUAGUAGGAUCUAUAAUUCAACAUAUACAAAGAGUCAUGGUCGAUAAAAGUUGACACAAAUUAUAAUGUCCACUUAAACUUAAUCGAUCGAAGUAGUUCUCAACUCGUCCUUGAGUCAAAGGACCUCUAUGGUCUAAAUUCAAGCUUGAAUGGAUUCACAUACUCGUAAAUAAUUAACAUGCCAUAUUGGCAUAGGAUUUAUGGUUUCGGAAUUAUCAACGCAUCAGAAUCAUGGUCUAUAUUGUACCCCAAAAUGUGGGGCGUUACAUUGACCCUGCGAGCUCAUUCAUUCAUCCCUAGUUCCACCUAAAUCAACUUAGGUACUAUCACUAUCCUAAUAUUGAGUUGAUAAGAACUCAUUUCAACUCAGAGUGAUUGAUUGACAACUCGGGUUGGUAUAAACGCAUUACCAAUGCCAUGCAAUUGCAAAGUCUUAAUUGGAUUUAUAGUUGACCCUGAGAGCUCAUUCAUUCAUCCCUAGUUCCACAUAAAUCAACUUAGGUACUAUCACUAUCCUAGCAUUAAGUUGAUGAGAACUUAUUUCAACUCAUAGUGAUUGAUCGACGACUCAGGUCGGGAUGAACGCAAUACCAAUGCCAUGCAAUUGCAAAGAUUUGAUUGGAUUUGUAGUUGACCCUGCGAGCUCAUUCAUUCAUCCCUAGUUCCACCUAAAUCAAUUGUAAUGAAACCUGUUGGAACAAACGACUAAGCUAUUGAAAAUUUUCAAACAGGUAUAUAUAUGUUGCAACAAAUGACAUAUCUAAUUUAAUUAUCAAAUAGAUAUUUGCAUCUAUUAUGACAGAUGACUGAGUUGUUGGAAAUUUUCAAAAAGAUAUUUAUAUCUGUUGUAAUAGAUGACAUAUUUGAUUUUAUUAAUUAUUAAAUGAAUAUUUUUAUCUAUUGUCACAGAUGACUGAGAUGUUGGGAUUUUUAAACAGAUAUUUAUAUCUGUUGUUUUAGAUGACUGAGCUGUUUGGAUUUCUAAAUAGAUAUUUAUAUAUGUUGCAAGAGAUGACAUAUCUGUUUGAAAAUCUUCCUCUCUUUUAAUUUUAAAGCAAGAAGCUUCUGGUCCUAUUAGAUAAGAUCAAGUAGUAGUACUUACUACUAAAGGCGGUAAAAAAUGUUUCUUGGAUAUCGUAAAAGUGAGUUCAUUGAGCAAUCUUGUCUUGUCUUUUCAAUGUCAUUAGUCUUAAUAUUCCUCGUGCCACUCAAAUUAUUAAUGAAAUUAAUGAAUAUUGAAAACCACCACGUCUACGUACACAAUACAUCUAUAGAAAUUAUCUCAUAUCUUCCUUCAGCUGCAGUUUAUUUUAUUCAACUCUCAUCUUUUUCUCUCUCCUCUUUAGGGUCACAGCCCUUUUUCUCUCUUUUAUCUUCUCUUCUCAUAAAGAUCUUUUCGGAUCUAAACCCAUCCAUAUCUUUUCCUCAACUUAAAUUUCUAUUUUGAUCCCCUUUUUGAUAUUAAGGUAUGGUUCAUUAUUGCUCUUUUAUUCUCAUCGUCUUCUUUGCAAGUUAUUUACAUCUAUUUUUUUCUUUAAUUACUAUUUACCCAUAUCAUAUUUAUUAAAAAAAUUUAAAAAAAUUGUAAGUGUUGAAUAAACAAUCCAAGAAUUUUUAUUACAAUUUAAGAAAAAAGUCAUCUGUUGAGAGAUGUUUAAAAGCCUUGUUGACAAUAUUCUUUUUUUGUAUGUAUUUUGUUUGUUUCAUUAUUAUUGAUGCAGUUAUUGAUGUUGUUGGUGGGGUUGGCAUUGUUAGAACUUGUGGUGUGGGGUUGUUGAUGGUUUUGGAACAAAGGAUGUUGCUUUUUUGUUAUUGAUGAUAUUGUUGGAACAAAUGUUGUUGUUUAUUUUUUAUUGAUGUUUAUGUUGUUGUUGAUGUUGCAACAUAUGGAGAAACUGUUGGAACAAAUAAAACCACCAAAAAGGCUGGUUUGAUGUAUUCCAUCAGACUCUACAUCUGUUGCAACAGACCCCACAUCUGUUGUAACAGACUCCACAUCUGUUGCAACAGACCACAUCUAAUGCAACAGAUGGACAAUGUUUUUUUUGUAUCAAUUUUUUUCCCUUCUUUGUAGAUAUAAGGAACUGACAGUUGAUCAAUUUUUGACGGACUAUAGCAAGAGGCUGCAGUAAGGAUGUGAUCGGAGAAAUAAGCUGCUUGCAUAUGGAACCACUUCAUAUGUGGGAGGUAUGUAUUACUGAUAAUGUUCUCGUGGAAACACACACAGAGUGCACCGAAUUUGGGAAUGAUGUUUUUACUGAUUAGUCAUAGAUCGUUCAAACAAGAUGUCUGCAAUUUUACAGUUAAGUUUGGUAAGUCCAAACUAAUAAGGCUGAGGGACCAUGAAUAUAGUUCUGAUAGCCUGUUAAGAUUUAAUGUUAGUUGUUGCUCAUGUUUAUUUGUCAAGCGUUGUGAAUGGAUCUAGUUUUUAUGUCAUUGUAAAGAGAUUCAAUAGUGAUUGGACUAACUUUUAGGGUGAAUUAGACCCUUAGAAGACCUUCGAAGCUUAGCACUGCAUCUAAUAAGAACGGAAAACAAAUAUAGUUUUUGCCCUGGCCAAAAUUUAUAUGUCUGGGUUGCUCGCUUGGGGUUAUGAUUAUAUGCCAGAAGGUGCGGUAGGAGAAUGCUUUAGAGGAAAAAUGGGUGGUUGAUGGAAGACUAUAUCAUCUGAGAGCUAAUUGAAGAAGAGACAUAGGGUAGAUACAACUUCUAAUGAAUCUGGCCGAUGGAAUUGUCUUAACAGAUGCAAAAUCUGAAUCAAGUGCAAAUAUGAAAGUGUAUCCGGUAAUGUAAUUUCAUCUGUUGUGUCGCUGAAAGAAAAACAAUACAGAUGGACACUUUGCUAAGGAGCUGUGUGGUCAGGAUUAUCACCUAGGUAGAAAAUAGGAGAAAACCAACAAAGCACCUCACGGGCAUCGUGGGUAGAAAUGAUGUUCAGCAAGUCUAGAAAACUUACACCAACAACAACUCCAGUUAAAUAAGGAAACUAACUGAAGGCAGAAAUUUCUGAAUUUUAAAUUUCAUCCCAUGCCUUCUUGUUUGUGUUUCCGAUCAGGUCCACUAUCGUUGACAUGAUCAGAACCACAAACGAGAUUGAAAGAAAAAUAAAGUAUCAUUGCUUUCCUAGAAAUAUGGUUAUAAUUGAUUGUGUUUUCUUGCCUUAGCAUGCUUUCAACAUUCCUUGGAGAAGAUAUGAUGCUUGCUGUAGUAUAUGAAUCCCGAUAAUUUUCAAGCUUGCCUCCAUCUUGUUGAUUCUGUAUUCAAGUUGUUCGUUGCUGUCUUCGAAAAUGGUAAGGAAUUCCUUAUCUCUUUUGAGCUCAAUCAGGAACACUACCUUUAAAGUUGUGGCAUUCUAGAAGCCCUUCAGAACACUUUCUUCAGAAGCCUUUAAAGGAUACAUGGAGGGUCACUGUAUUUGUUUUAGGUGAAAAUGUGUUGAUGCACAUUGAAGAUGUGGUCCCAACAGUUGAACAACACAUUUUUAUCGAGCGUUGCUCUAUGCAUCUUGCUCAACCAAUUUGAUAAAUUAGUAAGCAUGGAGUUACAUAGCGUGUGAUCUAAACCGGCUCGACCAAGCCUAUCAAACACUACGUAACUCUAAUCUCAUUACUCAAUUAAAAAAAUAUUACCGAGUUAGUGCACAAAUCAAACGAGCUCAAUCUCUCAACCUUUCUGCUGAUCGCUCUUCUCCAAUAUAGAUGACAAGAUAUCUGCUAUGCAAAAGUCUACACCGUUGCCAGAUAUGUUUGCCAAUUCUUCUGAAGGAUAUCUGUUGAUUUUUUUUAAAGAAUUGCUCCCAGACAAGCAUGUCUGGCGAUGGUGUAGACUUUUCCCUAGCAGAUAUUUUAUCAUCUAUAUUGGAGAAGAGUGAUCAGCAGAAAGGCUGACAGAUUGUGCUUUUUUUAUUUGUACACUAACUCGGGCAUAUUGUUUUGAUAGGGUAAUGAACUCAGAGUUACGUAACGUUUGAUAGGAUUGGUAGAGUCGGUUUAAAUCACACGCUACGUAACUCCAUGCAUACUAAUUUAUCAAAUUAGUUGAGCAAGAUGCAUGGAGAAAUGCUCGAUAAAAGUGUGUUGUUCAACUGUUGGGACAACAUCUUCAACGUGCAUCAACACAUUUUCACCUAAAACAAACACAGCGACCCUCCAUGUAUCCUUUAAAGGCUUUUGAAAUAAGUGUUCAGAAGGGCUUCUAGAAUGCCACAACUUUGAAGGUAGUGUUCCUGAUCGAGCUCACAAAAGACGAGGAACUCCUUACCAACUUCGAAGAUGGUAACGACCAACUUGAAUACAGAAUCAACAAGCUAGAGGCAAUCUUGAAAAUUAUCGGGAUUCACAUACUACAACAAGUAUUUGAUCUUCUCCAAGGAAUGUUGAAAGCAUGCUAAGGCAAGAAAACACAAUCAAUUUAUCCAUAUUGCUAAGGAAGUAAUUCUACUCUAUUUGCCUUUUAACCUCAUUUGGGGUUCCGAUCAGGUCAACGGCAGUGGACCUGAUCGGAAACAUAAGCAAAAAGGCAUAGGAUGAAAUUUAAAAUUUAGAAAUUGUCGCCUUCGCUUAGUUUCCUUAUUUUAACUGCAGUUGUUGUUGGCGUAAGUUUUCUAGACUUGUUGAACAUCAUUUCUACCCUCGAUGCCCAUGAGGUGCUUUGUUGGUCUUCUCCUAUUUUUUACCUAGGUGAUAAUCCCGACCACGCAGCUCCCUAGCAAAGUGUCCAUCUACAUUAUUUUUCUUUCAGCGACACAAUAGAUGAAAUUACAUUACCGGACACUUCUAAGAUUCAUUAAAAGUUGUAUCUACCCUAUGUCUCUUCUUUAAUUAGCUCUCAGAUGAUAUAGUCUUCCAUCAACCACCCAUUUACCCUCGAAAGCAUUCUCCUACCGCACCUUCUGGCAUAUAACCAUCACCCCGAGUGAGCAAUCCAUCCAUAUAAAUUUUGGCCAGGGCAAUAAAUAUAUUGGUUUUCCGUUCUUAUUUGAUGUAGUACGAGGCUUCGAGGGCCCUAUAAGGGUCCAAUGCACACUUAAAGUUAAGUCCAAUCACUAUUGGUUCUCUGCAGUGACGACAAAUAUUGAUCCCUUCUCAAAACUUGACACGCAUAAAUGAGCACCAACCAUCAGUAAUUCGUAACAGGGUAUCUGCACCAUCUUCAUGAGGUCCUCAGCCUUAUUAAUUUCGAACCCAGCAAACUUAACGGUACAAUACAGGAUCUUUUUUGAAUGAUCAAUGCCAAAUCAAUUAAAAACUGCAUUCACAAAAACAUUGUACUUUGUAUGUGUUAUCCCAGUAACCUUAUCAGUAAUACAUACUUAACUCCCAAACAUAUGAUAGUGGAUCCAUCUGCAUGCACCUUAUUCUUCCUAGCUCAUCUACGGCCUAAAUUAAAUAAACAGAUGACUAGCUUGUUACAAUAGAUGACACAUCUGUUUAUAUUGUCAGACAAUUGGAGACAUCUGUUACGAUAGUUGAUCAACCUGUUGCAGAAAUCAGAAAUCAAACAGAUAUAUACAUCUGUUGCAAAAAGAUUUCCAGUAUAUUGUAAGUUAUCUAACAAAAAGAAUAUAUUUUGCAACAGAUUACCCAUCUAUUAGAUUUAUUUUAAAGCAAUUUAUUUUCUUUUCGAGAUACAAUAAUUUAUAAAUAGGUCCCUCUUGACAAAUAUGGAUGAUCCAGAUUCGUUCAAGAAUAUUCAUAUCGAGUCCUUGCAUGAACUUCAAAGGCAAUUUGAU
rnacentral:lncRNA from 1 species